CUGCACUUCUUCAUCAGCAGUUUAAAAAUCAAAUGCUGUCCCUUUCCCAUUCCUAAGAAUGACUUGCUUAACUGGAAGCACUGUUUAAAUAAUUGAUUUUAACUACAUGUUUAAAAAAGGCAUCAGAGACUAGGUAGGUAAUUAUGGGGCGAAAGGUGAAUCGCUUUGGAAAACAACAAACCAUUGCAAUCCUUACAACGUGCCCUCUGCGCUUACAGCAGCUGGUCCUCAGCUCCCCUCCUGAGCGGCUCUGGUUCACGGGGAGGCCUUGGUUCUGUGUGCCAAGGCUUCCACGGAGCCCAGCUGCAUAGCUAACCACCCAAUCACUUCAAGGGCAGGUUAACGGCCAACACUAAGAAACAACGAUGGUAAGGGAGGACUGCUCUUCUAAGUUUUAUACAAAUAACAUAGCCAGGAGGCCUUUCUGCAUGAUUAUCCCAAAGAGAAACUUUGUACUGAGUGGCGACACCGUGCAAAGACGUCUUGAACCAACCACGAAACAGUAACCCUGUCUGAGGAGUCUGUAGGCAAAAUUUCGGCCAGACAUCUUCCCCAUCUGGCAAGAUGGUGGGUGAAAAAGCUCCAGCUCCGAAACUGGACACUAAGAAGCCACCUCCGGGCAAGAAGGCAGACAACAAGGCAAGGCCUCAUCAGAGAACAAAGUUCCAAGUGACUUCAAAGGGUUUUCUACACUCAGAGCAGCUCUAUGGGGCAUGGAGAAAGAAGAGAAAUGAACCGACACCAAAGGUGCAAUGAAAGGCAGAGUGGAUAGUGAGAGAGAGAGACAGAGAGAAAGGUCUUUCUUUUUGCCGUUGGUUAACACUGCAAUGGCUGCCGCGGCCGGCGUAUCGCGCUGAUCCGAAGCCAGGAGCCAGGUGCUUCUCCAGGUCUCUCAUGGGGGUGCAAGGCCCAAGGACCUGGGCCAUCCUCCACUGCACUCCCAGGUCACAGCAGAGAGCUGGCCUGGAAGAGGGGCAACCGAGACAGAAUCCGACACCGCGACUGGAGCUAGAACUCGGUGUGCCGGCGCCACAGGCAGAGUAUUAGCCUAUUGAGUCACGACGCCGGCCAACUGCUUUCAGAUGUCGAAUUUUGCAAAUACUUUUCAAUAUAUGUCAGCCUAUAUUUAGGAUGUGCAGAAUUAUCUCUUUGCAAAUGUCGUUACCUUUAAAUCUAUGUGUAAUUAAAUCACACUAAAAAUUGAGAGUAUAAUUGUUAAAGAAUAUGAGCAAGAAUGUAUACAAGUGAUUCCUAAGUGAAGAAUAUUUUGUGAAGGAAAUAAUUCAAUUUCACUUUUUUGUGUUUGCCUGAACAUUUGAAUGUUAUUUUAGGCUCCACAAUGAGUAUUUGCACUGUUUCUUUUUCUCCUGGGAGACAUGUUUCUUCCAUAGUUGACUGAGCAGAAAUUUAAAAGCUUUAUCAGAAAGCAACUACAAAAAAUGAAUUCUUUUUGGGAAACGAGGCUGCAUUUCCUCUUUGAAGCCCAGCCAGGUUUAGUUAAUGCUAAGGAGAUGGGACAAUGCUUCUGCUGCUCACACAUACAGCAUUUGCCACAAGCUAGGAACUCAGCCUGGCAUUUCCAGUUCUAUUGCUGUCAGCUGAGAGGUACAGACCCAAGGGAAAGCGGAUGGCAGAGUAGCUAUUGCUGUCUCUUCCUAGGGCCAGAAUUUUGAAGUAUAACCAGGAAGAAGUUUUCUUUUCCAUUUAUAUGCACACUCAUAAUGGGGUUCAAGGAAAUGAAGUGCACAAAUGCAAAUUAAGAUUUUGUUUUUAAUGUGAAGUUGCUUGAUAUCAGUUUCUUCUCUUCCGACAGAUGGAUUCUCUUUGGCAGAUGAUUAUGAAACUGUGCCUUUCAUGCCUGUCUACAUGAAAUGUAUUCUAUAAACACGUUGAAGCAUUGUGUUCUUCUGAGUCUGCAGUGUUUGAGGCUGUAUUAGCAUCGCGAUGACUAGAACUAUAGGAUUCAAAGUGUCUGUGAGUGGAACCUGGGGAAUGACUUGUGUGAUUGCUUCGGUUCUGCCAUGGGCCUUGACAGAUAAUAAGGUGGUUCCCUUGAAAUUUGACACAGAGCAUUUUCAUGCCCAAGGAAAAGAAAUGAACUCACAGAUAAUAGGGGGAAAUCCCAAGCAACUUCAAAUGUGUGUUUUAACAGAUAUUGGAAAAUGAAUGCAUUUGGAAAGUAAUGUUCAGAAAAUUUAAGAUUCAUGACAAAAGCUCACAGGGAUUCUUCUGCCUCUCAAGUUUUAAUUAUCAGGGUCACACUUCCUCUUGACUUAAUAGCUUUUCAAUGAUUACCUUAAUACUUUGAAUACAAAGAGAUUUCACCCCUAAAAUUUCUGUGAUUAAGAUAAGAGCUAACUCAGUUGUACUUUCACAACCCAAGCUUUAGCAGAAAAUUACCAUGGGCACAUGCACACAGAUCUGUAUUUCAAGAUAGAAAAUCAGAUUGCUUCAACUGAUCCAGAGGUAAUUCAUGUGAGCUAACCAGAAAAUUGGCCCACAAGCCUCUGGUAUUCUUGACUUCUAUUACUACGUAAUUACAUCCUCUUUAAUAGUAAAGCUAGAAGAACAGGAUUAGUAAUUAAUUUAUUCAAUAAAUAUGCACUAGGCCAUGCAUACUGAAGAUUGCUCCAAGUGAAAGAAAUAUAACAAAAAAUCAGGCAAAUAAUUUUCCAUAUUUUAUAGUACUUGUGUUCAAUUCAUGGUGGGAGUAGGUACAUAUAUUGUAUAAGCACUUAAAGAAAUGUUUAAAAAUAUAAUAAGGUAGUUUUGAGAAUGUAAUGAUACCUUGGACUGGGAAUUCUUAUGAUACUGCACUUAAGUGAGUAAUAGUUGAACAUAAACCAUUUCUGGAUUGUGUGAAGAUAAUUCCACGAAGAAUGGAGAGGAAACACUAUAUUGUGAGACUUCUGGGGCACCAAUGGUCUAUUGCUCUGAAAGAAUGCAGAAUACGGUGGUUUGCAGAGGUAUUUUAUUUUGCUCCUGACUUUGUGGAUGAGGAACACUGCAAGGGCUCUGUUGUGUGCACAUCUGUCCUCUGUGUACUAUAAGUGUGAGUGACUCAACUACAGCUGGAGGGGGAAUUACUCGCAAAUCUGAUGGACUGAAACUGGUUAAUAACCAGGAGCCUAGCUAGGGGUCUUGGUUUGUAGCCUCAAUUCUUUCCAAUGUGUUCUCCUUAGUGCAUGACAGCUGGCAUCCAGCAGUGAAUGUUCCAAGAGAUGGGAACUAAAAGUUUCCAUUCUUGAUCCUUUAGUUCUGCCAUACUCAAUGUAGUCAGAAUCCACAGAUUCAAAGAAAAUCCAGUGAGAGAUGUGUAAAAAAUGUAUGAUCACAUUCAAUCUGUCACAGUCAAUCAUAUGGCCAAAAUUUAUUUACAUCAUUCCCGCACAAAAAAUACUCUCUUCCAAGGGUCCAGAGGUUUCUUUGCAAACUGGUGUCACUUUCAAGCUCAGAAUAGAGGACUUAAAAGUCAAAGUCAGGUUUUGGAGUUGAGGAAACUUUUCUUAUAGAAUAGAAAGUUGAUAUUGACUUCUGGCUACGAGCUUAGCCAGGCUAGUCCUCUCUGUUAGGCUGCUCUGGCUUACUUACAAGAUGGUGGCUGACUUCCAAAAGUGAAUGGUCCAUAAAACAUGGAAGUGGAACCACCAGUCUCUAAAGGCCUGGAGUUAGAAAAAGACAUAGCAGAACUUCAGUAUGUUCUAUUAGUGAAGACGUUUAUGGAGACUACUCACUUGAUGGGAAGAGUAUCAGUAAAUUUGUGUUCAGUUUGCACAUCAAGACAUUUAUGGAGACUACCUGAUGGGAGGAGUAUCAGUGAAUUUGUGGCUCAGUUUGCACGUCAAGUAUAUUCACAGGAAGAUGAAUACCUGGGAAGUACACCAUACAGUCGUUUGUGUACUUCAAAUUUAAAAUCAAAUCCUUUUAAGAGUUCCAAAUGUGGGCCAGCACUGUGGCGCAGUGGGUUAAAGCCCUGGCCUGAAGCGCCGGCAUCCCAUGUGGGCGCUGGUUUUAGUCCCGGCUGCUCCUCUUCUGAUCCAGCUCUCUGCUGUGGCCUGGGAAAGCAGUAGAAGAUGGCCCAAGUCCUUGGGCCCCUGCACCUGUGUGGGAGACCUGGAAGAAGCUCCUGACUCCUGGCUUCGGAUCAGUGCAGCUCUGGCCAUGCAGCCAUCUGGGGAGUGAACCAGCAGAAGGAAGACCUCUCUCUCUCUGUUUCUGCCUCUCUCUGUAACUCUGACUUUCAAAUAAAUAAAAUAAAUCUUUAAAAAAAAAGAAAAAUAAUAAGUAUUCCAAAUGUAGGUAGUAUUCUAAAUGGUAUACUUGAAGACAACUUAAGCAGAUAUCUAUAGACAUAAAGUUACUUUAGAGCUAAGUCAUUUCAGGGGGUCAGUCAAGCAAAUAGGCAGUACAAACACAGAAGAGGAAAUGCACUGAAUCAACAUUGUGAAGAGCAAGAGAGAACAAGGCUUCAGUACCAGGGUUGUCAUCGUAGCACAGGGACUUAAACCACUACCUGCAAUGCCAGCAUCUCAUGUGUGCACCAGUCUGAGUGCUGGCUGCUCCACCUCCUGUACAGCUCCUUGCUACUGUGCCCAGGAAAACAGUGGAAAAUGGCCUAAGUACUUGGGCCCCUGCCACUCACAUGCAAGACCCAGAUGAAACGUCUGUCUCCCAGCCCAGCCCUGGCUCUUUGUGACCAUCUGGGGAGUGAACCAACAGACGGAGUGUCUCUUUCUCUCUUCGUGUGUGUGUGUGUGUGUGUGUGUGUGUCUCCCUCCUCUCUGUAACUCUGCCUUUUAAAUUAAAUAAAUAAAUUUUCUUUAAAAAGAGUUCAGUACUUAGAUGAAAGCAGAAAUUAGAGGCAUCCAACUUAAGAAUUCACUGGGAGGUGAGUAAGGAGUAGACCACAGAUUGAGCUAAAAAUCCAUUUAGUGGCCAGGUUUAAGUGCAACGCAUUGGAAAGGAACAACAAAGGAGAACAGAAAUCAUGGAAAUCUAGUUCAUUUUCCUGAGCAAGGCUGUACCACCAGCUUCCUAAUACUACCUACUCAUUCUACCAUGAAUGAUUACUUAAGCCUCUUUGAAAAAGUGGGCAGAAAGAAACAAUGCAUGAUUUUCUUCCCAUGAACAUUAAAAGCAGAAUAAUUGUGUAUUAUUUGGAGUGGAACACUUAUUCGAAUAGUUGAUGGAAAAGAUAGAUUACCAAACUCUAAAAUAUUUACAAGUACUUUGGGGAUCCAAUGGGGUAACUGAUUUGUUACUUUGAAGGGUAUGCUUUAUAGUUUUUAUGGCAUCUCACUCCCUCACACUCCUUUUCAUGCACUUAGAAAUAUAAGAUUGGGAAGAAGAAACUCAAGCACUAAUCACAGUGAAUAGCACAAUCUAUUUUUGAAAAUGGCCAUGGCCAGGAUGAUUAUAAUUGCCUCUCCUUUGCAAGUGCAAAGAAGGAUCAGCAUGGCUCUAAGUCCUACUCGUCCUUCAAGACAACCGCUUUUCUUUCCAUUUGAAAUUUUUCCGUGAUGUUUUAAGCUGAGUUACAGCAUCGUCUGUGCUCCAAUAAUCACCUUGUGUUCACUAUUAUGCUUUCUGAAGCAUAACUAAGAAUUAUGCUUGCUUCCCUCAAUAUUAUAAAUUACUAGUAGAGUAACUCUGUCAUAGGUAUGCUCUAUUCAGCAUGGCUGUACUAGAUAAAAAUGGCUGUUGUUUAGAUUUAAAUAUAAGAUAUUUAAACUUAAAUAAAAUUAAUUUCUUCAAUUGCACCAGCCACAUCUUUGGUGCAUGAUAGCCAUGUGUGGUUUGUAGCAUAUGGUUUGGCAGGCAUAGCUAAAGAACAUAUCCAUUAUCACAAUAAUUUUAUUAGACAGUGCCUCUCAAGAUUUUUAAAAACUUUUUUAAGUAAAGGAAAAUAUCUGUGACUCAACAUUAUUACAGUAACUUUAUUUCUGGUAGAAAAUGGGGAAAAUAGAUAUAACACAUAUAUAAUUGUGAAAAUAUCUAUAAAUAUAUGUGAAGUAUUGAGCUUCAGUUUUCUUGGCAUGGCAUUGUAAAGAAAUGUAAAGAAAUAUAAACAAAAUAUAGUCAAUAUAAAUUAACUCACAAAAUGUAUAUUAAAACUUGGAGUGCUAAAUAAAGCGUUCCAUUCACAGAAAUGGUUAAUGACUAUAUGCAGCUGUAAAUUCUAUUAGAGUCAAAGGUUUUUGGAUAGUCUGGCUUAGUUAGUCUCUAUGAUAAACUCUUGAACUCUUUCAUUGGCAAUACUAUAGAUCCAUUCAUGGUCCACACUAUGUGAAAUAAGUGGGUAAAAAAUAAUCUAAGAAUCAAUAGAGUAAUCUUCAUACAGAAAUCAACAAACAACAAUGCUGAAGAGGAUAUGGAGAAAAGGACACCCUUACCCACUGUUGAUGGUAAUGUAAACUGGUAAAAUCACUGUGGAAAACAGUAUGGAGAUACCUCAAAAAUCUGAAUAUAGACCUACCAUAUGACCCAGCCAUCCCACUCCUGGGAAUUUACCCAAGGCAAAUGAAAACAUUAAACAAAAGAGCUAUUUGCACCUCCAUGUUUAUUGCAGCUCAAUUCACAAUAGCUAAAACAUGGAAGCAACUUAAAUGCCCAUCAACCAAAUACUGGAUAAAGAAAUUGUGGGAUAUGUACACUAUGGAAUACUACACAGUAAUAAAAAAGGAUGAAAUGCAAUCAUUUGCAACAAAAUGGAGCAAGCUGGAAAAACCACAUAACUUAGUGAAAUAACCCAGUCCCAAAGAGACAAAUACCAUAUGUUCUCCCUGAUUUGGCAGAAUUAAUAGCACUCCUAAAAUGAAAGCUGUAGAGGUGAAAUUGACACUUUUAGAAUCAAUGACUGAAUAGUCCUUGACCUGACUGUUGAGGGACAGUUUACCAUUGUGACUUUUUAUUUUGUAUAUCCUUUUUGUUUUCUUUCUUUCUUUCUUUUUAUUUUCUCUUCUUCAUACAGCACGUUGAACUCUUUAUGUAACAUAGAGUUAAUCGUAUAUAUAUUAAGUCAAUUGGAAAAAGAUACCAGUAAAAAAACAGAGGGAAGAAGAGAGGGAGGAGAUAGUGUAUAACUGUAAAGCAGUAUAAUUCUGCAUACAGUCCUACAGACUUACUUUUUAGGGUACAACCUAAAAACUCGUCAUGGCUCUCUAAACACAUAAAAACCAGUAGUAUAAAUGACAACUGUUAAAAUGAUCGUAUUAAACGUUAAAGUCAACAUAAAGAUAGGUUUAAGUAUAAAAUUGAUCAUAUAAAUAACAUCAAAUGCCUGGUAAUAAUAAUAUAAUUAAAAAGGAAGGGAAGUCCAAAAUAGGAAGCAGCCUACACAGCAGACUCCUAGAAUGACACUCACUGUAAAUAACACUCUGACCUCAGAAUCAACCCUUAAGGCUUCUUGCUCUGGUUGAAAGACCUGCAAGAGCAUUUCAGGUAUGGAAAGCCAAGACUCUAUGGCAAAAAAUAUCCAAGUGGAGGAUCCCUGUGAGACCUCAGUGGAAAGAAAGGGUCAUCAAAGAAUGAUGUACUCUUCUCUGAAGGGAGGAGAGAACAUCCACUUUGCUUAUGGCCGUGUCCAAAUACCGAUGGAGUCUAUGGUCACAAAAGGUUUCCAUAGCCUUGGCAACCCAUGGCAAGAGCCUCAGGUGAUCACUGACAUCAUAAAUAAGAGUGUUAUUAAAUGAACAACAGAAGUCACUGUGCACUUACUCCUCAUGUAGGACCUCCAUCCUUAAUGAGUUGUUCUAUGAGAAUCAACUGCAAAACUUGUUCUUAUUCUUCUGUAUAUAAAAUCAAACUAAAAAUGAAUGAUAAUGAAGAAGGAGAUGGGAGAGAGAGAGGGAGGUUGGAUGGAAGUUGGGUUUGGAGGGCGGGUAUGGAGGAAAGAACCACUAUAUUCCUAAAGUUGUAUAUAUGAAAUAAUGCAUUCAUUAAAUAAAAACUUUAAAAAAUCAAUACUAUGCCAAACCUUAACACACAAUGAAGGAUAGCUUGGUAUUUAAACAUAUUCUAACAAUUAGCUUGAGUGAUAGAAUGCUUUCAUGAGGCACAGAGAUGAUGACAUAACAAAAACUGGACUCAGAGUUACAAAAACAUGAAGCUUUUCAGACGCAAAGCUAUCUCAAUUAUACUAAACAGACAGCUACAAAUCAGUAACUAAGGGGAAAAGUUUUCUAGUGGUCUUAUUUUUAGCUGUUUGGAAAAAUUACAGAAAUGAUAUUUUAAGUUGUUUUCCUCAUUGACCCACAUAAAUAAGACAGUGAUGAUAAAACUGUUGGAGGAGUAUGCUCAUUAGUCCUCAGUGCAACCUGUGUUCUUUCUCAGUGACUUGAGACUUAGGCAUUUAGCUUGUUCAGCUAUAAAAGAAUCACAGACUCUCAAUUCUAAAUGAAAGAGGGGAGAGGAAACUCCUAAGCUUUCAAAAAUGUGAGAAAGAAAAUUAAGUAUUGACUGAAGAGUGAAAUUUUUAAUUGGAUGGUAAAUGUUAAUUCCUUGUGGAAUAGAAAAUGAGACAAUAUCUCAAAAUGGUUUCAGAUACAUGACCAUUUAUUCUUAGUAUUUCCCACUAUGGGUUGUCAUGUGUAGUAGGGUAAAUCUUUCAUUUUCCUUAUGCAGGUUCUCCUGUUUUGCAUGCUUUCUUUUGUAAAUAGUCUGAGGAGAGUAUACCUCUGGUUAAAUAUGUACAGAGCAACUAUCUCCACGUUUCAUAACUAUACAAGCAAAAUAUUGUUUUUGCUUGCAUUUGAUGGACACUCAUACAUUGAAGUCUUUAUUUUGCUUCAUAUAUUUUCAACUCUUAUUGUCUUUUCCUUCUUCAUAGCUUGGAUGUUUGCCUAGGUCUUCUUUUCUAUCUACCCACAUAAACUUUAGACUCUCCCAACAGAGCUACAAAUUAAUCUUUAGCCAUAUUUUUAAAUUUUCUUCCUUUAUAAGGCAACCUGAUGUGAGCAUUUGGGUGCUGGAAUAAUUAUUUGAAGAUCCUCAGUGUAGAAGAGAAAAAUCAGUACAAUGUCAUUUGUCCUAAUGUAAAAGCCAAGGCCUAACUUUGGGAAACAACAAUAUUCAUAAUGGAACAGAAAUAAGAUAUUCUCUACCAUUCUUUGUACCAGGAUUAUUGUAUGUUAAAACUUCAUGCAAUCUUAAAAAUUUGACUAUGCCUAAGUAUUAGUAAAAUCUAUAAUUAGACCACUAUUCACUUAGUUAUUUGUGUAAAAUACUUCAUUCUCAAGUUCCAAAUGUUGGAAUUUGUCCAACUUUAGUUCCUUACAACAUACUGCUGAAACAGAAUUAAAAUCUGCAAGCAUUAUAAUCAUCAUGAUAAAUUUUAAUUGGCCUUCAUCAUCAACUCUGAUUUUGCACACAGAUGGAAUAAUUCUAGUAUAAACUUUGCAUGUCAUUAAUAAUGGUUUUCUUCUGCAUUCUGGCCUCACCAAAAUUUUGUUAAGGUCAUCUUCUAUCACAGCAUAUUUGAGAGCACAUGCAACUAGAUAUUUGGAUGGUGAAUAGUUAUCUUAAAGAAAUACAGGUUUUUAUUUAUUGUAGGUGGAUCUAAGUUGAAACUUGAGGAAAGCCCAGUAGCUCUUUGAGUCAUCUUCAAAUUCCAGUCGCAAUAUUUCUGAAGUACAAAUAUAAUGUGAGCCUAUCAUUACUACAUUUACAAACCCCCAUAUUUUAGCACCCCUAACAGAAAUUUUAACUUACUCCCCAUGGUUUACAAGUUUCAAAUGCGCUGCCUAAUUACUUCUCCAACCUUAUCUCCCUCUGUCCUCUGCCACUCAUCCUAUACUCAUAGUAAGAUAACCUGCCAUCCUCUAAAUCACCACCCUUUCUUCAUUUAGGUCUUGGCAUGUAUGCUCUUCUCAUUGCCUUGACAUCUCAUUCACCACAUCCUUUGUCCACCCUAAAUACCUAGAUUCUGUUCUUUGAAUUGAUUUGCAUUGUUGACUCAGCUUUUUUACCCUCUGUGUUGAACUCUCUGACAAACCUGUCCUCCCCACAACAAUCAAUUCAUUAGUAUCUCUUUCAUGGAACUAGGAUGGUUAGAGAGGAAAGAAAGGGAUGUUGUCUCGAUACAAAAUAAAAAUCCAUUAUUAUUAUAUCUGGGUAAGAUACAAUUCCAAUUAUAUAUGUCUAUCAUGACUUAUUCUACUAGAGAAGUUGUCAUCACAUUAUCUUUAUGGUGGAUAUAGGGUUACCUUGUCUACGUAUCCUUCCUAAGAUGUCUUGCUGUCCAAGGUCACAGAAUGUGGUCAGCACACAAUCUCCAUUUCGAAUUUCUUGCGAAUUUGUCUUUGCUAUAGAAAGUCACCCAGUGUGAGUCCUCACAUAACUUGGGCAUCCUGUCUAGUGAUUGUGUGUGGUACAGCUAUAAAGACCAAGCUCUGGCCAGCGCUGCGGCUCACUAGGUUAAUCCUCCGCCUUGCGGCGCCGGCACACCGGGUUCUAGUCCCGGUCGGGGCGCUGGAUCCUGUCCCGGUUGCCCCUCUUCCAGGCCAGCUCUCUGCUGUGGCCAGGGAGUGCAGUGGAGGAUGGCCCAAGUCCUUGGGCCCUGCACCCCGUGGGAGACCAGGAUAAGUACCUGGCUCCUGCCAUCAGAUCAGCGCGGUGCGCAGGCCGCAGCGCGCUGGCCGCGGUGGCCAUUGGAGGGUGAACCAACAGCAAAGGAAGACCUUUCUCUCUCUCUCUCACUGUCCACUCUGCCUGUCAAAAAAAAAAAAAAAAUACCAAGCUCUUACUUAAAAACUGUACGCUAAGGAAAGGGGAAUAAUCAGGUUUGAAGAUCGACACAUAUGGGUACAGUGUGAGAAGAUGUCUUUGCAUGGCUUAUUAGUGUCCACCAGGAGGCAUUCACCCCAGAAGAGUCUCUACAUAGCCAAGGGGACAAAAUGGACAAUCGAGUGAUUCCAGCUUAUGUCUGUCAUUGGCUCUCUUAAUGCCAAUGCAAUAAACAUAUACAUGAUGUGGCCGUGGUGAUGGUUAUGGAGACUAUACAGGAACCAAUUAAUAUACACUCCACUAAGUUCAAUCUACCAAGAGCCAGCCUCAGGUAAAAUGCUGAGUUCCUGACAGAGACAUUUACUCCCAGAGAAGACAUGGCCACUUUCAUGUGAAGUUGACUAUAUGCUUCCCCUUGUAUCAAAGAAGGGCCAGUGAAUCAAUAGAGUAACAAACUCACAUUCUGGGCAUAAAUCCACUUGUCCUCAGCAUCUUAGCCAGUACUAUUAUUUGUAGAUUGACUGAAUGUUUAAAUGACUGAUACUAGAUCCCACAUAACAUCAUGUCAGACAAAGUGAUCCAGUUUAUAAAAGGAGUUCUAGGAAAGAAGCCCUCAUUCACUGCCAUUGUCAUUCUGCCAGCAUGAUAGAGUAUUACAAAGGUCUGCUGAAGACCCAAAAGGAGAAGCAGCCUGUCAGCAGUAUGUGCAUGCUUCAACCACUGAGUGUCGUUUGUCAGUAUUCAGAGCAUGCAGUGAAUGUUCCCUUGGCUCUGCUAUUGUAAAAAAGGAAGAAUAUAUGACUCCAGUAUCCCAAAAUAAAAAUCAGAGUCACUCCCUUACUUUCACUCCAGCAGUUCACUAGGUGAUGCAAUGACGGGUUGGAUACCUGAGAUUUAUAAAGGGAAUAUUUUCCCAGGCAACAGCACUACAAAAGUCCCAGAAAUUAUAUACCAAAACUACGAUCUAUGCACUUUCAGUUCCUGUGUUCAUGAAUCAACAGUCAAGAUUUGGAGGCAUUGUACUUAUAGAGGUAAUUGACUUUGAUCACCAGGAUGAGGUAAUGCUACAAAUCCACAAUAGGAUAAUGAAGGAUAUUUGUGGAAAACUCGCCUUAUUCAGUUGAGUACCUUUUUAUACAUCCCUUGCUUAAUUUUUACUUUAUAUGGACAAUGACAGCUAACGCUAACAGAGAAUGUCUUGCUGAUUGGGGCCUCAAUAUCUUAUGGAAUGUUCCAUAAGAUAAGCCACCAAAACAAACAAAUAUAAUAGAUGAGGGUACAGAGAUGCGUGAAUGGGUAAAAGAAGGAGACUUGUUAACAAUUAUGCCCUGAGACCAAUGGUAGUAGCAAUCCUUCCCUCUAACCUUCUUUUUAUUUUAUUUUAUUUUUUGACAGGCGGGGUUAGGCAGUGAGAGAGAGACAGAGAGACAGAGAGAAAGGUCUUCCUUUUUCCGUUGGUUCACCCCUCAAGUGGCUGCUAUGGCCCGCACGUUGCAGCCAGCGUGCUGCACUGAUCUGAAGCCAGAAACCAGGUGCUUCCUCCUGGUCUCCCAUGCGGGUGCAGGGCCCAAGGACCUGGGCAAUCCUCCACUGCACUCCCAGGCCACAGCAGAGAGCUAGUCUGGAAGAGGAGCAACAGGGACAGAAUCUGGCACCCGGACCAGGACUAGAACCCGGGGUGCUGGCACCGCAACUCAAUAGGCUAAUCCUCCACCUGCAGCCCCCUCUAACCUUCUCAUCUGAGCAGCUCCCUCUGACGCUCUGUGGAGGAAAGGAUCUAUACGUAGCACAAUGGGUUGCAUAUGGUAGAUAUUCAGAUGUGUCACCCACAUCCUCCUCUACAUGAAGUUUGCUGUCCAGCAACCUGGCAUACCAUCAGGGAAGUGGUCUAUCUGUCAUCCUCCGGGGGCUGACUCAGCUACGGAUGGCACCCAUAUUCAAGGUUAUAUCCUCUCUUGGGCACCCUGCAUCUGGUGAUAGGCAGGCUGAAAUGUAAAUUUCUGGCCAUUUCACUUUGAUGCACAGCACUUAUUCCAAAGAUCCCUACUGACUUAACCAUAUCUUGGAUGGGCUGGUAUUUACAGUUCAAAUGUCCCUAACAUUCAAUCCUAUUAUCUCUUUAUUUGCUUCAUAGAUGUGAACCUCUAAUGAAUGUCUAUAUAUACCUGAAAUUCUGUAUUACUGUCUACAUAUUCAGAAUCCAACCUGUGACAAUAUUGCUAUCAUUUUUGCCCUUUCUACAUUACCUACUUUGAGGCAGGUGAAGAUGUAUUGUCUUUACCAGUUGUACUGUCUAUAGAAACCAGAAUAAUGUGUGGAUAAAUAAUAAAAAUUUUGUAAAUAUUUGUGAAAGCUAAGACACAUAUAUAUGUGAUAAUGCAAUCCUAAACUAUAAUUCUAAGAAAAGUAUAAUAUAGUGCUACACAUAGAUGUAAAACUAUACAUAGAUGUAAAAUUAUUUUAAAAUGUCUAAACAACCAUACGACAUAAAUUAUUUUGUUUGUAGAUGUA